rnacentral:tRNA from 2 species
AAAAAAGCCGGAAUAGCUCAGUUGGUAGAGCAGAGGACUGAAAAUCCUCGUGUCCCG